GUGAGACACCUGUGAGACCUAGCAGGUGGAGAAGCCAUUGCGUGUGCCAAAAAAAAGUAUAACUGGAGGAUUUCUGUGAGGAGCCUGUGGCCAGUUUAUGGAGUGUAUCCUCUCUUUCCUGCCUACUCAUCAACGGAUCAUUGGAAUUUAUGGUACUGUGAGUUUUUUUUAAUCCUUUUUAGCAAGAGAAGAGGAGUUUUUUUUCAAUCUUUUUUGUUUGUUGCUUAAUCAGGGCUGGAUAUUGUUUGAGGGCCUACUUUUUCUUUUUGGGCCCUCUUUUGUAACAUCCACAUAACGGACUAAUACUUCAAGAGGCUUAAUGUAUGGCGUGAUAUGCAUAAUUUCUUUGUUAUUUAGUUUUUCAGAAUGAUUCCCAAGUGUAUUUCUUGGAGAUUGUCCUUACAUUUUGAGAGAACUGCCCAUGACAAGGUGUUGGGAAUACCUUUGCCAAAUGAGGAGACUGUAGCAACGAAACGUUCCAGCAUUCCAGAGACAGGCUAUUUUUAGACACAUCCACCUCCCCCCUCCAAACCCUUCAGAGGGGCCUUUGGUGCGUCACCUGGCAUGGCUGGACCACCAAACCGAGGGUCCUUGUUGCUUAACCCACUGCCAGGCUGUGCCAUAUGUGGCGUGUGAGCAUCGUGCAUCCUGCCACAUGGUACAGCCUCUCCCCUGGCCCCAAGAGGCUGGCACGCGGCCUGGCAUCACCCGAGUGCCAGUGCUUAGGCCUCACGUGUGUGUGUUACCGGACCAACCCGACCUCCAUCAUGCCACGGCAUCAGACAACCACACACCCACACACAUGCAAACAAAACCCACACACACAGCACAGCACUCACAACACAGAAACACACCGAUAUUACAAAUCCUAAUGGAAUACAGAAAACCAUGGCUGUUCACAGUUGCUUAAGGCAGAGGAAAAACCUCAGGUUGGCUCCGGUCUUUAGUGAAAGGGGCUAAACAGAGGAGCACAUACAAACAAACAAACAUAUA
ensembl:lncRNA